ACUAUCAUUAACUGAAUCCAUAGGUUAAUGAGGCGAACCGGGGGAACUGAAACAUCUAAGUACCCCGAGGAAAAGAAAUCAACCGAGAUUCCCCCAGUAGCGGCGAGCGAACGGGGAGCAGCCCAGAGCCUGAAUCAGUGUGUGUGUUAGUGGAAGCGUCUGGAAAGGCGCGCGAUACAGGGUGACAGCCCCGUACACAAAAAUGCACAUGCUGUGAGCUCGAUGAGUAGGGCGGGACACGUGGUAUCCUGUCUGAAUAUGGGGGGACCAUCCUCCAAGGCUAAAUACUCCUGACUGACCGAUAGUGAACCAGUACCGUGAGGGAAAGGCGAAAAGAACCCCGGCGAGGGGAGUGAAAAAGAACCUGAAACCGUGUACGUACAAGCAGUGGGAGCACAGAGCAAUCUGUGUGACUGCGUACCUUUUGUAUAAUGGGUCAGCGACUUAUAUUCUGUAGCAAGGUUAACCGAAUAGGGGAGCCGAAGGGAAACCGAGUCUUAACUGGGCGUUAAGUUGCAGGGUAUAGACCCGAAACCCGGUGAUCUAGCCAUGGGCAGGUUGAAGGUUGGGUAACACUAACUGGAGGACCGAACCGACUAAUGUUGAAAAAUUAGCGGAUGACUUGUGGCUGGGGGUGAAAGGCCAAUCAAACCGGGAGAUAGCUGGUUCUCCCCGAAAGCUAUUUAGGUAGCGCCUCGUGAAUUCAUCUCCGGGGGUAGAGCACUGUUUCGGCAAGGGGGUCAUCCCGACUUACCAACCCGAUGCAAACUGCGAAUACCGGAGAAUGUUAUCACGGGAGACACACGGCGGGUGCUAACGUCCGUCGUGAAGAGGGAAACAACCCAGACCGCCAGCUAAGGUCCCAAAGUCAUGGUUAAGUGGGAAACGAUGUGGGAAGGCCCAGACAGCCAGGAUGUUGGCUUAGAAGCAGCCAUCAUUUAAAGAAAGCGUAAUAGCUCACUGGUCGAGUCGGCCUGCGCGGAAGAUGUAACGGGGCUAAACCAUGCACCGAAGCUGCGGCAGCGACGCUUAUGCGUUGUUGGGUAGGGGAGCGUUCUGUAAGCCUGCGAAGGUGUGCUGUGAGGCAUGCUGGAGGUAUCAGAAGUGCGAAUGCUGACAUAAGUAACGAUAAAGCGGGUGAAAAGCCCGCUCGCCGGAAGACCAAGGGUUCCUGUCCAACGUUAAUCGGGGCAGGGUGAGUCGACCCCUAAGGCGAGGCCGAAAGGCGUAGUCGAUGGGAAACAGGUUAAUAUUCCUGUACUUGGUGUUACUGCGAAGGGGGGACGGAGAAGGCUAUGUUGGCCGGGCGACGGUUGUCCCGGUUUAAGCGUGUAGGCUGGUUUUCCAGGCAAAUCCGGAAAAUCAAGGCUGAGGCGUGAUGACGAGGCACUACGGUGCUGAAGCAACAAAUGCCCUGCUUCCAGGAAAAGCCUCUAAGCAUCAGGUAACAUCAAAUCGUACCCCAAACCGACACAGGUGGUCAGGUAGAGAAUACCAAGGCGCUUGAGAGAACUCGGGUGAAGGAACUAGGCAAAAUGGUGCCGUAACUUCGGGAGAAGGCACGCUGAUAUGUAGGUGAAGUCCCUCGCGGAUGGAGCUGAAAUCAGUCGAAGAUACCAGCUGGCUGCAACUGUUUAUUAAAAACACAGCACUGUGCAAACACGAAAGUGGACGUAUACGGUGUGACGCCUGCCCGGUGCCGGAAGGUUAAUUGAUGGGGUCAGCGCAAGCGAAGCUCUUGAUCGAAGCCCCGGUAAACGGCGGCCGUAACUAUAACGGUCCUAAGGUAGCGAAAUUCCUUGUCGGGUAAGUUCCGACCUGCACGAAUGGCGUAAUGAUGGCCAGGCUGUCUCCACCCGAGACUCAGUGAAAUUGAACUCGCUGUGAAGAUGCAGUGUACCCGCGGCAAGACGGAAAGACCCCGUGAACCUUUACUAUAGCUUGACACUGAACAUUGAGCCUUGAUGUGUAGGAUAGGUGGGAGGCUUUGAAGUGUGGACGCCAGUCUGCAUGGAGCCGACCUUGAAAUACCACCCUUUAAUGUUUGAUGUUCUAACGUUGACCCGUGAUCCGGGUUGCGGACAGUGUCUGGUGGGUAGUUUGACUGGGGCGGUCUCCUCCUAAAGAGUAACGGAGGAGCACGAAGGUUGGCUAAUCCUGGUCGGACAUCAGGAGGUUAGUGCAAUGGCAUAAGCCAGCUUGACUGCGAGCGUGACGGCGCGAGCAGGUGCGAAAGCAGGUCAUAGUGAUCCGGUGGUUCUGAAUGGAAGGGCCAUCGCUCAACGGAUAAAAGGUACUCCGGGGAUAACAGGCUGAUACCGCCCAAGAGUUCAUAUCGACGGCGGUGUUUGGCACCUCGAUGUCGGCUCAUCACAUCCUGGGGCUGAAGUAGGUCCCAAGGGUAUGGCUGUUCGCCAUUUAAAGUGGUACGCGAGCUGGGUUUAGAACGUCGUGAGACAGUUCGGUCCCUAUCUGCCGUGGGCGCUGGAGAAUUGAGGGGGGCUGCUCCUAGUACGAGAGGACCGGAGUGGACGCAUCACUGGUGUUCGGGUUGUCAUGCCAAUGGCACUGCCCGGUAGCUAAAUGCGGAAGAGAUAAGUGCUGAAAGCAUCUAAGCACGAAACUUGCCCCGAGAUGAGUUCUCCCUGACUCCUUGA
rnacentral:rRNA from 1 species